rnacentral:rRNA from 1 species
UACGGAGGGUGCGAGCGUUAUCCGGAAUUACUGGGUUUAAAGGGUGCGUAGGCGGCUCGGUAAGUCAGGUGUGAAACCUCCAGGCUCAACCUGGAGACGCCACCUGAUACUGCCGUGGCUAGAGUCCGGUAGAGGAGCGUAGAAUUCCUGGUGUAGCGGUGAAUGCGCAGAUAUCAGGAGGAAUACCAGCGGCGAAGGCGGCGCUCUGGGCCGGUACUGACGCUGAGGAGCGAAAGCGUGGGGAGCAAACAGG